CCGCGGUGGCGCAUGCGCAAGAUAAGUGCACCUGCAAGUGGCGUCACCGUUGGACAUGCUGGGGCUGGGCGGUCUUUGGCUCUUGUGGCGACGACCUCCUGCCGCGGGGGUCCCAGCAAAGAGCCUCCGCCUCAGGAAGGUCGCCUCCGGCGUCUCUCCGGGCAGCACCUCGCCCAGAGCCUUAAAUAUCUUCGACCGGGAUCUGAAGAGGAAACAGAAAAACUGGGCGGCCCGGCAGCCUGAGCCGAUGAAGUUUGACUACCUGAAGGAGGAGGUUGGAAGUCAGAUUGCAGACCGUGUGUACGACAUAGCCAGAAAUUUUUCCCUUGCUUUGGAUGUUGGUUGUGGAAGAGGUUACAUAGCACAACAUUUGAAUAAGGAGACUGUUGGAAAGUUUUUCCAAGUAGACAUUGCAGAAAAUGCUUUGAAAAAUAUCUUAGAAAUGGAAAUUCCUACUGUCAGUGUUUUAGCUGAUGAAGAGUUCCUUCCCUUCAGAGAAAAUACAUUUGACCUGGUGGUUAGCAGUUUAAGUUUACACUGGGUGAAUGACCUUCCUAGAGCGCUUGAACAGAUUCAUUACGUUUUAAAACCAGAUGGAGUAUUUAUUGGCGCAAUGUUUGGAGGUGACACACUCUAUGAACUUCGGUGUUCGUUACAGUUAGCAGAAACAGAAAGGGAAGGAGGAUUUUCUCCACAUGUUUCUCCUUUCACUGCUCUCAAUGACUUAGGACAUCUGCUUGGGAGAGCUGGCUUUAAUACAAUGACUGUGGAUACUGAUGAAAUUCAAGUUAACUAUCCUGGGAUGUUUGAAUUGAUGGAAGAUUUAAAAGAAAAAAGUCCAGAAUGUUGACCUUAUUUUACAAAACAAGUUGUGUAUCAGCUGAUGAAUGCAUGAAAAGUUUUGGAGGCUUUCACAGUAGUUUUAAGGUAUGGGUGAGAGUAACUGUGCUUGGAAUAGAAAAGCCCUGCUGCACCGAGACACGAUGCUGGCGGCCGCGGCCGUGUACAGAGAAAUGUACAGAAAUGAGGAUGGUUCAGUACCUGCCACAUAUCAGAUCUAUUACAUGAUAGGAUGGAAAUACCAUGAUUCACAGGCAAGACCAGCUGAAAGAGGUUCAGCAACUGUGUCAUUUGGAGAGCUGGGAAAAAUAAACAAUCUUAUGUCACAGGAGAAAAAGUCACAAUAAAUAUUUUAUUCAAUGUUAACGUAGUCCAGAAUUUUCAUCAGAGAUGGAUAACUUUCACAUCUAAAAUUAUUACAUUUUGAAGCAAGAAGCAAUCUAUAAGCAAUGUACUAUCAGACUUGUAGUAAUUAGAAUAACCUAAUCCUACAUCUACAUUUAGUAACCCUUUUGGUUUUACGUCGUUUCUGUUUCCAUAUGGAUACUGUUAUCUGGUGAUUUGAAUGUCUUAUUUACAGAUUCAGCCCAAAAGCAGGAAGAUAUUUCAAUGAAAAAUCCACAAAUAUGUUCACAUUUAUACAUGCCUGACUUGAUGGAAAAACAUUGCCCACACUGACAUUUUGUACCUUUUUCUCCUUCUGAUCUUUUGUUAUUGCCGUGAGAGGGCGAAAGCAAUGGAAAUGAGAGGAAGGACAAAUUGGUAGAGUCUCUAGAGUUCCAGAUCAUUUGGAAUAAAAACAGUUUUUAUAAUGUCUAAGAUACUCAAGCUAAAAUUAUUUGUCACACUGUCAUUUUUGUUGUGAAGACAGUAUAGGCUUGUAUGUCUCCCCAGAGCUAUUACAUAGUUUUAUACUUUAGAAAAGUAUGGAUCUUGGGGCGCCUGGGUGGCUCAGAUCUUGGGGUGCCUGGGUGGCUGAAGCGUCUGCCUUCA